GCAUGGAAGAGGAAGCAAGAGAGGUCCUAAGCGCAAUAGGAAUGGGAACAUGAAGGAACGUAAUGCCCUAGUCUCGUUCUUCUCUAUAGUUUGGAGAUGGACAUUUCACUCGUCGUGUUCCUGAUGCCUCCCAUUCCUAUGGUUCUUAGGUGCUCCUUCCUCUUCCUUUCACUA
rnacentral:pre_miRNA from 2 species